rnacentral:lncRNA from 1 species
GGGUGCCUCUCUUUUGUGAUUUCUUUAGUGAAAUAAAUCCUUGUGGCCUGGGGUGUUGGGGUCUAGGAAGCAUAGAUUCAAAGAGGUCUCUAGGUGGAAGAAGGAUUUGGGCAAGGAGAUAAGAACAUUGAUAAACCAGAUCACACAGGGGAAUGUAACCUUCUGACCCUCCAGUCUCCAAAAACACAGAGCAGUUAGCUUCAGGCAAGUCCUCCUCUUCCAGAAAGCCCACCAGGACUGCUGUCAGCAGUGUGGCUUGCAGCUGUCAAGCUACAGGAAAACCUCUUGGUUCUGUGCUGUGGGUAUGGGAGAGGGCUUGGAUGAGAAGAAGCUGGGUUAGGGAUAGGGCCAGGGUGGCUGCACGGGGAAGUGAUGGACAGAACAAGGGGCUUAUAGGCCCUGUGCGAGCCUGGCCCACAGCAGGUGGGAGGUAUUUUUAGGUAGGCUCGGGUGCAGACAGAGACAUUACGCCAUGGCCCGACAGGUGGUUAAUAUUUAAUCCCUUCCUUAAUCAUUAACUCCAUGGCUGGCUGGAGAGGAACAGGACUGUUGUCAAAUCAGUAACCACAGGCUGGGAACAAUGUCCACUGAGCUCGCGGCCCCUCCUGCAGCUGGGAGUGCUGGCUGGGUGGGGUUGUCCCUGGCCGUGGGGUCCCUGGUUCAUCUCCUUCCAGCAGUGACCUCAGGAUGCAGAGAAGUUACAAGAGGCAGAUGCUUUACCGUCUGAGCCACGAGGGAAGCCCCUGGGACAUGGUGAGUGCUAAAUCCAUUUAAAGGAGAAUUAGUUUCUGACUCGAGUAUUCAGGGAAGCUUCCUGGAGGAACAUUCCAGCUGGCCCUUUAGGGACCAGCAGGGUUGCCAUAGAUCUAGAUGAGGGAAAGGUGUCUCUUUCCUAAAGAGGGGCUGGAGUAAGCA